rnacentral:rRNA from 1 species
UGGGUAACCUGCCCAUAAGACUGGGAUAACUCCGGGAAACCGGGGCUAAUACCGGAUAANAUUUUGAACUGCAUGGUUCGAAAUUGAAAGGCGGCUUCGGCUGUCACUUAUGGAUGGACCCGCGUCGCAUUAGCUAGUUGGUGAGGUAACGGCUCACCAAGGCAACGAUGCGUAGCCGACCUGAGAGGGUGAUCGGCCACACUGGGACUGAGACACGGCCCAGACUCCUACGGGAGGCAGCAGUAGGGAAUCUUCCGCAAUGGACGAAAGUCUGACGGAGCAACGCCGCGUGAGUGAUGAAGGCUUUCGGGUCGUAAAACUCUGUUGUUAGGGAAGAACAAGUGCUAGUUGAAUAAGCUGGCACCUUGACGGUACCUAACCAGAAAGCCACGGCUAACUACGUGCCAGCAGCCGCGGUAAUACGUAGGUGGCAAGCGUUAUCCGGAAUUAUUGGGCGUAAAGCGCGCGCAGGUGGUUUCUUAAGUCUGAUGUGAAAGCCCACGGCUCAACCGUGGAGGGUCAUUGGAAACUGGGAGACUUGAGUGCAGAAGAGGAAAGUGGAAUUCCAUGUGUAGCGGUGAAAUGCGUAGAGAUAUGGAGGAACACCAGUGGCGAAGGCGA